AAGUCGUAACAAGGUUUCCGUAGGUGAACCUGCGGAAGGAUCAUUAUUGAAUAAACUUGGUUAGGUUGCUGCUGGCUUUUAGGAGCAAUGUGCACACCUAUUCCAUUUUUAACCUCCUGUGCACUUUGUAUAGACCUGGAUAUCUCUCGAGCGCCAGUUUUGGACUCGGUCCUGAGAAUUGCUGAGUUGAAAAACCUGCUCUUCUUGUCUUUCAGGUCUGUAUCUCAUCUAUAUACUCCAUAAGAAUGUAUCAGAAUGCAGUUUGAGGCCUUUGGUGCCUUUAAAAAUACAUACAACUUUCAACAACGGAUCUCUUGGCUCUC
rnacentral:misc_RNA from 1 species